rfam:Candidatus Hamiltonella defensa 5AT (Acyrthosiphon pisum), complete genome.
GCCACCCAUCAACAAAGUUCCUUGCCUCUAUGAACAGCGGUUGGUUUUUUAGCAAGAGGCUUAAUAAUCCAAAAGGGGCAACACCAUG